rnacentral:rRNA from 1 species
AGAGUUUGAUCCUGGCUCAGGAUGAACGCUAGCGGCAGGCCUAAUACAUGCAAGUCGAACGGUAAGGCUCCUUCGGGAGUACACGAGUGGCGCACGGGUGAGUAACGCGUAUGCAACCUACCUUGAACUGAGGGAUAGCCCAGAGAAAUCUGGAUUAAUACUUCAUAAUAAUAUAAGACGACAUCGUUUAAUAUUUAAAGCUCCGGCGGUUUAAGAUGGGCAUGCGUGACAUUAGUUAGUUGGUAAGGUAACGGCUUACCAAGACAGCGAUGUCUAGGGGUUCUGAGAGGAUUUUCCCCCACACUGGUACUGAGACACGGACCAGACUCCUACGGGAGGCAGCAGUAAGGAAUAUUGGGCAAUGGACGAAAGUCUGACCCAGCCAUGCCGCGUGCAGGAUGACAGCCCUAUGGGUCGUAAACUGCUUUUAUAUGGGAAGAAACUCCACUACGUGUAGGUGACUGACGGUACCAUACGAAUAAGAUCGCUAACU